rnacentral:lncRNA from 1 species
AUAUCAUAUAUAUCACUACAACAAAAAGUGCUACUCCACGUUGAUACAAAUCAGUUCCUAAUAACCUGUACCAGUCCUUUUUGUUAGGGUGUUGUUAUUGUUAUUUACAUGUUAAUUUGUUAAUUACUAUUUGUAUUCACCAGUUUUUUUUUAAUGGAAAGUAUUACCAGUUUAUUAAUUCCAUGAUUUUAUUUUUGGAGAUUGAUUGAUUGAUCAAGCAACUAUAACCAUGACCAUUUAGCAAAGCCGGUUCAAAGGGUGUGUAAGUAGUGCCACCACACAGACCCCUAAUUCGGGGAGGGCCCCCAAUUUAUGAUUUUGUUUUACAUGUAUAUAAAGUAUAUAUUUUUAAAGGGGCACCAAUUAAUCAAAUUAAGCUCACAUUUUUUUUUUUAAAUCUUUGUAGCUCCAAUUGGGUUUGAAUAUCUCCUACGUGACUACGUCACAUCUUAUUAUGUUUUAUUUUUACUUUUUGUUGUAAUUAAAAGCGAGGAGUUUUUGUUUGAUUUUUUGUUGUGUUUCAAACCUAAAAACAUACCACCACACAAUUGAUCAUUUUAUUCAUUUUCUUUUGCAUUAUAUCAAUUUAUACAUAAAAAAAUUAUAUAUAUAAAGUAAGCAAAAUUUUAUACCUUAUAAGGAGCUCCAUUUUGAAUCUCGGGCUCUCAAAUCUCAGAGCCAGCCGUGUCAUUUAGCUACUGCAACAAAUUAACGAUGGCUGCCAACACUCGAAGACUAAGUUCAUUCACAUUUUUAUUUAAAAUUCUCAAUAUUUCUAGAAGUCCCAACAUGCUUUCCAAUAUAUCCCAAACCCACACUACUUGCAACCCCACCAAUAUGAGAAAUUUUUCAGCAUGCCGUAAGUACAUCUUGGGACACCAAGUAUUAUACUACAAGUAGUUGAAAUUUGUUUUUUAAGUAUCCAACCAUUUGUAUUAUGACACUUGGUCUACUAAUCUUGUUCUCGGCAUACUAAAAAAUCUCUUCACCGACAUGAACCGUUGAUUGAUAUCUAGAAAGCUUUGGAUGUUUAAUCUAGGGGGAUGCUGGUAGAAUAUCUUUCAGCAGAGCAAUUCGUGCUUUUCUGAAUAUUUGUUAAUUUCAUGCAUGCGUUACAUAUUACCGCUGAACUUUGGUGAGGGGGAUCUAGAAUUUAGGCUUUGGCAUCUUCAAUAUAACUAAAAUAUGGAACACGUUGUCUGACUUCUACAUCGUUUGAUUUUUUAUUUCACAUUUUUCACAUUCGUCGCAACACUUUGGCACUUUUUGCUAAUCUACUUCCAUAUGUUGCGUUCCUUUAUUUCAACUUUUUUCCCCCUAUUAACCGUCACUACAGGUUCUAUAUUCCUUUUUGCUCCUACAUGCAUGUAUUGAAAUUUGUCACGGUCAUAGCUCAUAAUUGUAUUAUAUAUUUGUUCUACGGUCAUAGCUCAAAUUGUAGGUUAUAUAUAUCUAAAUAAUGACUGUAUUUGAUAUCAUUUUAACCAAAAAAAAUAUGUCGUGUAUAUUAUUAUCAUAGGUAAAUAAUUGUGUAGUUACAUAUCUUUACUCUAGGUGUAUAAGUGUGUAGUUAAUUCCAUAUUUACUAGCAAGAGAAAAAUAGGCAUUUUUUUUAUAAACAAUAACAUAUAUUAAAUAGAGUGUUCACAGUCUCAACUAGUUCUCAUGCAAUCAAUAAAAUAGGCCUUGUGAGCCACAAUAGGUAACAAUCGAAAUGCGCUGAAAAUCGCAUCUGCUAGGAAAUUUGCUUCUCUAUAAACGUGAGUCCAGAAGAUGGAACCAAAAGAGGCUGCGAAACUUUUGAUGUAUUCAAUAAUAACUUUUAAGCGCCAAGGAAUAUUGCGGGAUCCCAAAAUGGUAUCAAUCACUAAUUUAGAGUCUCAUUCCACACAAAUUUUCUUAAAGCCUCUACUUCUUGCAAUCUAGAGAGCAUCCCUCAAAGCCAAGCCUUCAGCAACAGAUAUUGAAUUUUCACCCAAGCACCUGCACAACAGCAAUUGGAUCUCCAUCCUCAUUCCUGAUUACAAAUCCAGCUGUCGCCUUCGAGUUCACCACAGAACCAUCAAAGUUAAUUUUUAGGAAACCCCUACGAGGGGGAUUCCAUCUAAUGAAACGAUGUGACUUGCUAGUUUCUUUAUUAGAUUCAUUCGCAUUCAUAAAGUCUUUACC